AGACAUUUAAGGAUGCAUUCUGUGAAGUUCGUGGAGUUCUGUUUCUUGUGGUUGCUUCAGUGAACAUUCAACGCUGUCGCCAAUGUCAACAAAUUACUCUGAAUCUGAAGAACCCAAGGGGAAAUUCACUAUGUUAAACCCCAAGUAUUUCAUUCAACCUACACAGCAAGCAACUGCAAUGCUAUUUCUCUGCUGAAUCAUGAAACUAUUGUACAAAUCACCUCACAGAGCACCAUGCAGACAACCAGACUA